UACGUAGGGGGCAAGCGUUGUCCGGAAUUAUUGGGCGUAAAGGGCGCGUAGGCGGCUAGGAAAGUCAGAUGUGAAAGGCCAGGGCUCAACCUUGGUAGUGCAUUUGAAACUUCUUAGCUUGAGUGCAGGAGAGGAAAGUGGAAUUCCUAGUGUAGCGGUGAAAUGCGUAGAUAUUAGGAGGAACACCAGUGGCGAAGGCGACUUUCUGGACUGUAACUGACGCUGAGGCGCGAAAGCGUGGGGAGCAAACAGG
rnacentral:rRNA from 1 species